rnacentral:lncRNA from 1 species
AUGAAGACAACGAUCUUGUUAGCUGUUGUAGUGGCAGUCAUUGUUGGAGGUAAAUAUCUUUAUUGAAAUAUAUUUGUUUUGCGUACGUAAUUUAUUUAGAAGUAUAGAUCCAAUAUUUUUUAAGAUAAAAAUACGGCAGACCGACUUUUCCAAAAUUUGAUUGCGAAACCCAUAUUUGUAUAUUAUGUAAAAUUGUACUACUUUAUUGUAAUAUUUUUCAUUAAUAAAUACUGUUUUAUGUAAGAUAAAUUGUUAAUGUUUACAACUGAAAUAUGUUUUGUUAUUAAAAUUCAAUCAUUUAAAUAUUCAAACAAAAUAUUUUUUUUUCUUUAUACGUGUUGUUCAGUUUGUAGUUUUCUAUGCUAUGCUUUGUAUACUGUUGUUUGUCUUUUGCCAUGUCGUUGUCAGUAGAUUUUUAACUUAUGAUAUCGAAUGUCCCUGUGGUAUAUUUUGUCUCUCUUUUAGACAGGCCUUCGUUAUUUGUGCAUUAUUUAAUCAAUUUUAUUUUAUUUAUUUUUUCUCCGUUUUUUAUUUAUAAGUUCAGGAAGUCCAAUCAGUACCUUGUGCAUCAACUAACUGUGCUUGGUUCUGUGGGUCUCUAAAGGUUGCUCAUUAUAUAGAUGUUACAGACGUACUUAUCCCGUAAGUUGCUACUGCCUAUCAUUGUAGAAGAGCUGAGUCUCCAUUGACACUUUCUGGAAGCGCUAGGAAUGUGAACGAGCAGAACAAAGAGAUGGACAACUCUCCAAUGUAAGUACAAUACAAGACUUCGUUACAUAAUAUAAACGUUUACAAAUUUACAAAUGAAAAACAUUGUAUUCUACAUGCCAACAUAUACUGUAUUUAAGGUAUAUCAUUUUUUUAAACAGAUCAUUUGAAUUUUUUUUAAAUAAAGCAUUUCAUCUUUGUUUAAUUCAAUAGGUCGUUAUCGUCUGCACGUAUUAUUUACAGUCAUAAACACAUGAACUACUCCUGCAAGAGAAGGAAGGGAUGUUUUUUUUUGAUAUUGGUUAAUGUGUUGGGAGGCAGAUAAGAUAUUCGUUUAUUGUGUCUCUCAAUUAUUUACAUUCAAAAACAUUUUUACAUAAAUCGAUCACUGGUCAAUUGCACGAGAAUAGUCAGAAAAAAAACUGUUAUAUGAAACGUUUUAAUUGAAUUUGUGAAAAAAAAAACGCCACAUAUAAGAGAACAUCUACUUUGUUUCAGGAUGAAUGAGAUGGAACAUUUGGACCAAGAAAUGGAUAUGUUCUAG